UACGGAGGGUGCGAGCGUUGUCCGGAAUCACUGGGCGUAAAGGGCGCGUAGGUGGCGCAGGAAGUCAACGGUGAAAGUUCGGGGCUCAACCCUGAAUCGGCCGUCGAUACUCCUGGGCGUCGAGCACUGUAGAGGCAGAUGGAAUUCCGGGUGUAGGCGGUGGAAUGCGUAGAGAUCCGGAAGAACGACCGGUGGCGCAGGCGGUCGAGCUGGGC
rnacentral:rRNA from 1 species